AGGUGCCAGAAGUGAUGACAGCUGCAGUGUGUCUCUGGAACAAGCAGCUGAUGAAGAGGAACCUGGGGACUGCAGGAACAUCCCAGUUAGCUGAUGUGUGGCCCACACGUUUUCUGUUGCGGAUGGAUUCAGAUACCUGGCGCUCUGAAAGCUAGAUGCAGACAGACAAGAUGCGCACCAAAGAGCGGCAGAGGAGGCGAGCAGAGCGCCGUAUGAAGGUGGGUCGGCCGGUGGUGUUGGAGGGAAGAUCUGGCUGGUGGCUCUAUGGCUCCAUUAAGACUUGUCUGGGCCUUCUUGAUUUUUUGAAGGCGUGAAGCU